GUCCUGUAGCGCAAUGAAUAGCGCGUUGGACUUCUAAUCCAAAUGACGGGAUUGGAAUCCCACCUGAGAUG